rnacentral:miRNA from 1 species
GCUGCGGGGAUUUGGCAGUGUGGUUCCUGCAUGAAAACAGUAGUUCAUGGUGCCUGGACCUGCAAAACCACAUCUGCAGGCACAGUAAAGUCUGC